rnacentral:lncRNA from 1 species
GGACCCUUUGGACUUUAGUGUAGACCAAUUUGAAAACAGGACAAAAAAUGAAGAAUCUACAUACACAGUUAGAUUUUGUAUAUCAAAGAACCCCAUUUAUUCAAUUUUUGAUGAAAUCAAACAAAGUUUAAUUUUGGACCCCGAUUUGGACCAACUUGAAAACUGGGCCAAUAAUCAAGAAUCUAAGUACAUUUUUAGAUUCAGCAUAUCAAAGAACCUAACUGAUUCAUUUUUUGUCAAAAUCAAAACUAAGUUUAAUUUUGGACCCUUUGGACCUUAAUGUAGACCAAUUUGAAAACGGGACCAAAAGUUAAGAAUCUACAUACACAGUCA